AGCCAGACCCGCAGAGAGCCUGCAUCUCGAAGUAGCUCUACUAUAUUUCUCUCACACACGUUAAGCUCUAUCAUGCACCCAAACACGGCGGCGUUUGGGUUUCCUUCCUCGGACUCCUAAAUCCAGCGCAGCCACAGGCGCGUAGCUGCCUAUCAUACCAAAAUGACCAACGAAGGCGAAGGACAACUCUGGGGUGGUGACUGGUCUGUCUAGUUACUGGACCAGAUGAAAUGAGACGGAGAGUCCCUAAUCAGCGCUGAUGGUUCGUCCGGAGCUUCGCCUCCGUGGAAGGUCUGCUUCAGAAGAAGGUUAUUUUGCCCAACAACUGCGUGUGCAGUACUGCACAACAUUUGCGUUGGUGUGGGCGAUGACCUCCCAGUGGAGGAUGGGGCCCUGGAGGGAGAUGACCCUCCUCUUGAAGGAGAAUGUGGCACGGAGUCACAGAGUGGAGCUCCUUGGCGUGCGGCACUGGCCAAUGCCAUUACCCCUCUUGAAGUGGCUCCACAGGACCACGACUACUUUGUUCUGCCUGUGACCGGACCAAGACAUACAUUUUAACAUACAUUUUUUUUAUAUUAUUUAAUCACUUUUAUCCAUUAUGAAUGUGUUUUUUGUUGUGGUUGAUCGAAUCCUCUUUAUUUAAAAAAAUCAAUUACAUUUUUGUAAAACUAAGUGAAAUUGUCUGAGAACUUAAUUUAUGCAUCACAUUUACAGUAUGGUUGAUUAUUAAUUAUGCAGGGGGAAAAAAGACAAAGAAAGUGUUGAUAAACAUGUAUUUAUUUUUAUAGAUAACUGAUUGGAUCUCAUUCAUACAUACAU
ensembl:lncRNA